CAGCAGAUGAUCCAAGUGAUGACGACCGAGAAGAGCGCCAGGAUGCUGGCCACCGACAGGCAGAUGGGCCCCACGGGCGAGGGCGAGGGCGAGCCGGCUGCGGGGGCUGCACCAGAGGGCGCCCCGCCCCCCGAGGGGGCCCCGCCGCCGCCGCCGCCGCCGUAGUGGUUGACGAAGAUGAGGCCGGUGAAGAGCAGCACCACCAUGGAGAGGAAGGAGAAGACAACGCACACGCAGCCGGCGUUAGGGGCUACGACCCUGGUGGAGCCUCCUCUCCCCAGCCCCCUCCAGGAGCUCACCGGUGAUGUAAUACGGGACCCGCGCUGGGAGAGGAAGCGGCAGACUCCGCGGUGGCGGCAGCUGAGGUUCUUGUCCUUCAUGAAAACCGUGAUCUCGCUUCUCCGUCCAAGGGCGAAAGCUAGUCAUCACCAAACCGUUUACACUUUCCGCUUUUAUUAGCAAAGCCCAGGCGGCCCUGCAGCGUUCUUCUCAGGGUGGAAGCCGAGAGAUGGCAUUUUCCUUUUAACCAUCUAGAGGAAAAUUUGGGAGCUGAAAAGUACGUUUUCCUCCCCUGAAAUAUCGCUUCCUGAAGGAGGCAUGAAGACACCGACUCGCUGAUUUCCUAACGUUGACCCUUAGGGAUGGAGGUCGCUACUUGGUGGCUGUGCAUAUGUUUACAGACCAGAAAGGGGAAACGUUAUUGGCACAGAGGUUCACAGAAUUUCAAGGUCCAGCUUAAAUCUACCCCUGGCAUCACUCCCCACCGUGGUCGACUUAAACUUUUAACACACACAUGCAGAGAGCUGAAAACACCAUGAGUAACAGGAGAGGGAUCUUCUUGAUGUUAUUAAUUAAAACCAAGCGAAGCCCAUGUGAGCAGGUUAGCAAGAAGCAGCACUUCCUGAAGGAACGCUCAGCAGGGUAGGAAUGGAGGAUGGGCAUCUGAGGGAUGAUGUUUAGAUAUUCCUAAUAAGAAAGUUCUGUUCCUCUAUUUCUCCAGGUUGGUCCUCACUCUAUGAAGAGAAAACCUCCCCAGCCCCAGCAGGGAAGGGAAAGGAGAGAGCUCUCUGGGUUCCCAUGAGAUGAGAAUGUUCCCACUUUCUCUCUGGAUUCUCUGCAGCAGAAAGCAAGAUACCCCAGGGGAUAUUUGUGGAAAGGAUGAAUGAAUGAGAAUCAAGCUGAAGGAAGAGAGAAGCUGAAGGAAAGGAAGAUACCAAGAAAUCACCAAUGUACAGACCAAAGUUGGAAUUGUCAUAAAUAACUGUCAGGUUUCUAUGACACUUGAAAAUAAAUAGACCUUUUACUCUAUGUGAAUAGUGAAUGUGAUUGAUAUGGUAAAUCACAUGAUAGAUUUAGGUGAUUUUGAGAGACCUUAGGUGAGGCUCAUUAAAAACCAUGAGUUUUCCAUUUCCU
ensembl:lncRNA